rnacentral:rRNA from 1 species
UACGUAGGGGGCGAGCGUUGUCCGGAAUUAUUGGGCGUAAAGAGCGUGUAGGCGGUUCGGUAAGUCUGUCGUGAAAACCUGGGGCUCAACCCCAGGCGUGCGGUGGAUACUGCCGGGCUAGAGGAUGGUAGAGGCGAGUGGAAUUCCCGGUGUAGCGGUGAAAUGCGCAGAUAUCGGGAGGAACACCAGUAGCGAAGGCGGCUCGCUGGGCCAUACCUGACGCUGAGACGCUAAAGCGUGGGGAGCGAACAGG